UUGAACGCUGGCGGCAGGCCUAACACAUGCCAGUCGAGCGGAUGAAGGGAGCUUGCUCCUGGAUUCAGCGGCGGACGGGUGAGUAAUGCCUAGGAAUCUGCCUGGUAGUGGGGGAUAACGUCCGGAAACGGGCGCUAAUACCGCAUACGUCCUGAGGGAGAAAGUGGGGGAUCUUCGGACCUCACGCUAUCAGAUGAGCCUAGGUCGGAUUAGCUAGUUGGUGGGGUAAAGGCCUACCAAGGCGACGAUCCGUAACUGGUCUGAGAGGAUGAUCAGUCACACUGGAACUGAGACACGGUCCAGACUCCUACGGGAGGCAGCAGUGGGGAAUAUUGGACAAUGGGCGAAAGCCUGAUCCAGCCGUGCCGCGUGUGUGAAGAAGGUCUUCGGAUUGUAAAGCACUUUAAGUUGGGAGGAAGGGCAGUAAGUUAAUACCUUGCUGUUUUGACGUUACCAACAGAAUAAGCACCGGCUAACUUCGUG
rnacentral:rRNA from 1 species